AGAACGAACGCUGGCGGCAUGCCUAACACAUGCAAGUCGAACGCUUGCCCGGUUUCGGCCGGGCAGGAGUGGCGCACGGGUGAGUAGCGCGUGGGAACCUGCCCUGUUGUGGGGGAUAACCGAGGGAAACUUCGGCUAAUACCGCAUGCGCCCGGAGCAAUCCGGGGAAAGAUUUAUCGCUCUAGGAGGGGCCCGCGUCGGAUUAGGUAGUUGGUGGGGUAACGGCCUACCAAGCCUGUGAUCCGUAGCUGGUCUGAGAGGAUGAUCAGCCACACUGGGACUGAGACACGGCCCAGACUCCUACGGGAGGCAGCAGUGGGGAAUAUUGGACAAUGGGCGCAAGCCUGAUCCAGCAAUGCCGCGUGAGUGAUGAAGGCCUUCGGGUUGUAAAGCUCUUUCGCACGCGAGGAUGAUGACGCUAGCGUGAGAAGAAGCCCCGGCUAACUUCGUGCCAGCAGCCGC
rnacentral:rRNA from 1 species